GCUUAGGAUGAUUAAAAAAAAAAACUGACAUUGGAACAGAAAUUCUACUGAACCUGCCAUCUGUACAGCAAUCCUCAUCCAUUUCCCUAAGUGGCACUUUCUCUCGUUCUCGGUGGUGUCAAUUUAGGCAUUGUUUCCAAAGAUAUCUGAUCCUCUUCCUUCUCAUCAGUUUCUACAGAUGCCCAUACCUACUUCAUGGAGAACUGGCAACAGUCAGGCUAUAACUCAAAACAAGCUCCCAUGAAGAUAUUACAACUGUAUCCACAUCUUCCUCUUCCCUAAUGUUCUGCUGUAAAAACUUCACAGCUCUACCUAUGCUCUGAAUGC
rnacentral:lncRNA from 1 species